AGAUAAUGAGCCCAAGACAGAGAAGAGAAAGACAAGGAGAAAUGUAUUGAGCCCUUGAAGAAACCAAGUGUUCUACAUGGGACUGGGGGUGGUAUGCCUAGGGGAAGGAGGGUCACAGUGUCUAUAAAGGAGAUAGAUGUAAAAGUCAGUCCUAUGGCCCUAAUAAAAACUACACAAUUACUCAUCGAAGUUUGUUGAACAGAAAUCAGUACGAUCACAGCUACCAUGGACAAAGCUUGAUAUAUUUUGGUUUAGUUUAAAUGAGGGGUAUUGGUUUCAAAGAGAUAUUAAAUUUCGACUCUAAGGGGCUGAAGUCUCGUGUGCCUGUGCGUCUGGUGAGGCUUAGCGGUCACCACUCCCCACUCACCCGCUGCCCACCCCACCUCCGAGGGUGACGCCCCUUGAGGACGUCAGCUCUCCAGCCUAGAAGGCAGCAUUGUGAGGGGCGUGGCCUAGAGGACGUUCUACUCUGGCCACCACGAUCUUGGCAGCCCACACCUGAUCAGGACCUAAAGCGUGAAGGGUGUGAAUGAGGAGAAACGAGGACCGCCUGCUACCCCAGCGUCUGGCCCCCUGGGGACUGAAGGCUGGCUCUGGAGCUGUACCUCGGCAACUGCUAUAAGGCUGCCGAAGCCGCCGCCACUAAGGCGGCCGCCAGCAGCCUGAAUGCAGGUUAUAUGUCCCUUGAAGGAGUUGAGUAAAUACAGGCAGUAUGUGACUAGUUUAAAAUUAGACUUUGAAAGAAACUGUAUAAGAGAACAAGGUUUCACUCCAAUCACCCAGGCUGGAGUGCAGUGGGAUGCUCUCAGUUCACUGCAGCAUCAACUUCCCGAGCUCAGGUGAUCCUCCAGCCUCAACUUCCCAGUAGCUGGGACUAUAGUCACAUGCCACCAUACCUGGCUAAUUUUUGGUAUUUUUAGUAGAGACAGGUCUCACCAUGUUGCCCAGGCUGGUCCCAAACUCCUCGGCUCAAGUGAUCCCCCAACCUCAGCCUCCAAAAAUGCUAGGAUUACAGGCAUGGGACACAGUGCCCAGCCAAUAUUUGCACUUUUAUGUAGAUAUUGAUAUAUGAUUAUAUGAAAUUGGACACAGCAGGAAAGCAGAGUGUACUCAAGAUGAAAGAAAAAAAAAGACGAUAUGAAGACUGUUGCGGGAAGUCAGGGACCCCGAACAGAGGGACCAGCUGGAGCCGUGGCAGAGGAACAUGAAUUGUGAACAUUUCAUGGACAUUUAUCAGUUCCCAAAUAAUACUUUUAUAAUUUCUUAUGCCUGUCUUUACUUUAAUCUUUAAUCCUGUUCUCUUCAUAAAUUGAGAAUGUACAUCACCUCAGGACCACUGUGAUAAUUGUGUUAACUGUACAAAUUGAUUGUAAAAUCUGUGUUUGAACAAUAUGAAAUCAGUGCACCUUGAAAAAGAACAGAAUUAGGGAAAAAGGGAAGACAACCAUAAGGUCUGACUGCCUGUGGGGUUGGGCAAAAAGAGCCAUAUUUUUCUUCUUGCAGAGAGCCUAUAAACAGACAUGCAAGUAGGAGAGAUAUCGCUAAAUUCUUUUCCUAGCAAGGAAUAUUAAUAUUAAUACCCUGGGAAAGGAAUGCAUUCCUGGGGGGAGGUCUAUAAACGGCUGCUCUGGGAGGGUCUGUCUUAUGCAGUUGAGAUAAGGACUGAGAUACACCCUGGUCUCCUGCAGUACCCUCAGGCUUAUUAGGGUGGGGAAAAACUCUGCCCUGGUAAAUUUGUGGUCAGACAAGUUCUCUGCUCUCCAUCCCUGUUUUCUGUUGUUUAAGAUGUUUAUCAAGACAAUAUGUGCACCGGUGAACAUAGACCCUUAUCAGUAGUUCCGCUUUUGCCUUUUGCCUUUUGCCUUGUUAUCUUUGUUGGACCCUUAUCAGUAGUUCUCCUUUUUGCCCUUUGAAGCAUGUGAUCUACCCCCUAUUCUUAUACCCGCUCCCCUUUUGAAGCCCUUAAUAAAAGACUUGCUGGUUUGAGGCUCAGGUGGGCAUCACAGUCCUACCAAUAUGUGAUGUCACCCCUGGCAGCCCAGCUGUAAAAUUCCUCUCUUUGUACUCUUUCUCUUUAUUUCUCAGCCGGCCAACACUUAUGGAAAAUAGAAAGAACCUAUGUUGAAAUAUUGGGGGCAGGUUCCCCCAAUACAGGACCACAUAAGAAGAAAUCUUGAUCUCUGUAGACAAAUUGAAGAGGCAAAAAAGUCCUGUUGUGUCUGACAAAAAUUAAGUCGUAAAUAGAGAAGCAAGAGCUGAAGAAUGACACCAGAAAACCUGAGGACAAACUGGCUGGAAGGUAGUAGAGUGGGCUUUUACCAAUGACUUGGGCUGUUUGAGGAAAUGCUUUGGCCAUUUUUGCUAUUUUUAAAUGUGAAUUGUCUGAAAUGGCCUAAACUCAUGAAGAAGGCUACUGAUAGACCCAUUCUGGCCUGAACCUAUACUUCAAGGGCUGGCCUGAAAUGAGACUUGUCUCCAGAAAGUGGCCAGUAAGUGAAAUUGGAUUUAGUUAUUAAAAUAUAUUCUUCUUCAUGCUAGACCACAAAAGGAUAUUUACCCCUAUCUUUCUAGCUUUGUACUCAUUGUGACUUUAGAAAUGUCAAGAUAGGAAUUGAGGGUUCACUUCAAAUAUACCAUCACAUUUGAAAUCUCUAUUUUGCUUUGCCAGUGGCAAGUUGAUACUAAACUUUUAAAAUAUAUUAAAUAUAUAUUUAUGUAUUACUUAUUUUAUUGUAUUUUUUUCUAGAGACGGGCUCUCACUCUGUCACCCAAACUGGAGUACAGUGGCACAAUCAUAGCUCACUGUAGCCUCAACCUCCUGGGCUCAAGUGAUCCUCCCACCUCGGCUUCCCAAGUAGCUGGGACUACAAGUGCACACCACCAUACCUAGAUAUUUUUUUGUUGUUGUUUUUGGUAGAGAUGGUUUCUCAUUAUGUUGCCCAGGCUAGUCUUGAACUCCUGGGCUUGAGUGAUCCUCCUGCCUAGGCCUCCCAAAGUCGUGGAAUAAUAGGCAUGAGCCGCCACAUUCAGCCUAUUUUUAAAAAUAUUUUAGAAACAAGCACUUCUAGAGAAAAACAAUUACCUAUUUUUACAAACAAUGUUUUAAAAAUGACCUGUAAGAUGAAGACCAGAGGAAAGUGCAUUUGAAAACAAACGACAAGAUGAAACAGAAGCCCGACUCCAAGCAUCAGCUGAGUGUCCGCCAACUCGGCCGCAGCCAUCUUCCGCCGCCGCGGCGCGCAGCUCUAAAGAUUCUGCCUUUGUGGAGCCCCCAAAAUGGCUCAGACUUUCAGGAAGCUUCCCCAUCUUACUGCUUCUUUUCCAAAGAUGGCGUCCAUGUGCCUGAGGGCCAGUUCAUCAUUCUCAAAAUGGUACCAAGAUUGCUAUCAAAAAGUGAAGAAGCAAUUACAUCCUUGAUGGAAUGUAUAGAGUAACACGACAGAACAAAAAGAAGAAAUUGUGUUUCAAAUGUUUGUAUUGAUCAUUAGUUUGUCUAGUUAACUUAUUUCUAUAGGAUAUCCCAUUCACUGGCUUGGUGCUGACUAGCUAGAGAUCAUUGUGUUAAGACACAGGUCACACCCCUCUCCCUGGUAAAGAAGGUGCUGAGUAAGCUUCAUGCUAAAUGUACCACGCAAUUUAGCAGAAAGUAACUUAAACAUUUGAUGAUGAUGAUGAUGAUUAUGGUGAUGAUGAUGAUGAUGAUGAAAGUUAACAUUUGUUGAGAACCUACUGUGAGCUAGGUCCUGUACUAAGUGAGAAAGAAGGAAAAAGGAAAAAGUGGGUGACACAGAAUAUACAGAUGGAAAAGACAUAAUCACCUUCUAAGGGUCAGACUUACAUAAACAAAAGUUCUUAUAAUAAAAUGGGAGUUUUGAUUGAUGCAAAAUGUAGUGAAAGUGUAGAAGAUUUAAAGCCUAGUCCUGCCUAGAGAGGUUGAAGAAGGCUUUAUUAAAGGAGGAUUUAAUUAAAUUAGGUCCUGAAAUGUGAGUGGGAAUUUUCCAGGUGAGUAGUUGUGAGGAUAUAGUGAGCCAAUGUUGCAGAUACAAGUGAAAAGCGUACAUUGAAAGCAUGGAGGUGUGAGCCAGCAUAGCCAGAGAAGUGCAGGAGAUGAGACUGAAAAGGUGAGUUGAAGUCAGAGCCUUGUACACCUUGCUGAAGUAUGACUAUAUCCUCUCAGUAGCAGGGAACCAUUGAAGGUUUCUGAGUAGGCAUAUGACAUAAGAAUUAUUUGAAUUUCUAAAAAGAUAAUCCAGUUGCAGUGUUUGAGAUAGAUGGUAGAGAAAAGAGAUUAGAGACAAGAUAGUUUGGAGACAAGAUAGUUUGGAACUAUCCCAGUUUAUCUGAACUGGGAUAGUUCAGAUAAAAAUGAUAAGGGCCCAAACAGGCAGCAGCAUGAGGGUGAAAGGGAAGAUAUAGAUUCAAGAUAUUUUGGAGUUAGACUAUGUCUGGAGUUGGUGACUUAAUAGAUGUGUGGAGUCUGAGAGGGAGAUUGAUGAUGAUUGUAUUAGUCUGAUCUCACACUGCUAAUAAAGACAUACCUGAGACUGGGUAAUUUAUAAAGGAAAGAGGUUUAAUGGACUCACAGUUCCACGUGGCUGCAGAGGUCUGACAAUCAUGGCAGAAGGCAAAGGAGAAACAAAGGCGUGUCUCACAUGGCGGCAGGCAAGAGAGCUUGUGCAGGGGAACUCCCAUUUAUAAAACCAUCAGAUCUCAAGAGACUUAUUCACUACCACAAGAACAGUAUGGGGAAAACUGCCCCAAUGAUUCAAUUAUCUCCACCUUGACACGUGGGGAUUAUUACAAUCCAAGGUGAGAUUUGAGUGGGGACACAGCCAAACCAUAUCAAUGAUGAGGAUGAUGAUGAUGAUGAUUAUUAUUAUUAUUAUUAUUAUAUUAUUCAGUUUUUGUAUAUAGGUUUUUCACAAAGUAGGGUGUCUUUUCUCUGUGCUUCCAUGGUGCUUAGGCUUACCUCUGUCUCAGAACUCAUUCUACUGUAUCAUAUUUGUCUGACUGUUUUACUGGAUGAUAAGCUUCUUGAGGUCAGGAAUUAAAUAUAUUUUUUCAGGUCUAAGCAGUGCACCCAAUAAGCAUUAGAUUGAAUUGGAGUGGCCUUACUGAAAUAAACGGGGCAAAUCUGAACUUUUAGAAUGGAGCACUGGGUGAAUCACCACAUCUUUAACUAAAAUAUGAACUGCAGGAAGGGAAGUGAAUUUGGAAAGAUGUGAGUCCAUGGGUACAUAAUGAGCUAGUUAAGUUUAGGUGUCUGUGAGAGAUGUCCAGCAAGUGGUUGAUAAUAUGUAUUAGCAUUGAGACCAGUGCUUGGGAGAGAGGUAGGGGAUGAGGGGAAGAUAUUAUAUUAAUUUGAUGCCUGUAGAGUAGGCAAAAGUCUCUUUUAGAAGCUUAAUUAUCAGAUACCACAUGCAGGGUGAAAAAAUAAUAAUAGAAGCUUAAUUACUAAUUAAUGCUUUUCUCUGGAAUACUAAGCCAUAUAGAAAGAUAAAGAAAUGACUAAACUGUCAUGUCCUUCAAAUGAAGGAGGUAAGAAAAUAAAUAAUAUUCAUAAUUUUUCUGUAGUUUUUCAAUUAAAUAGUUUUGUCAUACAGCUGGUUAUUUUCCUGAUUAUAAAAUCUGUGCUUAUUUUUAGUAAAGGAAGAUUUUAAAAAUAUUCAUGAUUAUGAAUGUUAUUAUCUUACAUACUGGGGUGUUUUUUAGCUGAAUAGGUCAUUUGGGAUUUGCAAAGUGUGGAGAAGUUAGAGUUCCUGCAAUGGCUGCCCUUACUGAUAGGCAGAGUAAGUUCAUAACAUAGUAUGAUUUGGGAGUCCCAGUGCAGAAAAUUCUCCCCAAAAAGGUCCCUACCUUCUACUGCCAUCCUUCUCCUCAGACAUGAAAAUACAUCCUGCUUCCCAUCUCCGCAAGGCUGAACUAGAGGUUAGCUAAGUCUCUGCUAGUCCCUACAGAAGAUUCCCAUGCAUAUUCUACACAUACCCACGGCCACCAGGCACACUAGGACAUCACCAUCUGGGUAGUCAUUGAGCACUUUAAAUCUAAUAUGCACAAAACAAAAUUCAUCAUCUUCCAGUCACCCCAAAACCUGUUCUUACUUCCUCCUUUUUUAUCCAGGCACAAAACUUGGCUCAUCUUUCGCUUUUUCCCAUUGCUCAUAUUCUACAUCUUAAAGUUGCCACAUUCUGUGUAAUUUACCUUUCCUUUCCAUUCAUGUUAUCCCUGCCCUUAAUGAUUACCAUAAUUUGCCUCCAAUGUCUUCUUAUUCCUUUUUUUCAGUAAAAUGUUUCCUUUUCCUUUUCAUUUUAUUUUUUGUUUUUUAAUUUUUGUGGGUACAUAGUUGGCAUAUAUAUUUAUGGGGUACAUUAGAUGUUGUGAUACAGGCAUGCAAUGUGAAAUAAGCACAUCAUGGACAAUGGGGUAUCCAUCCUCUCAGGCAUUUAUACUUGAGUUACAAACAAUCCAAUUACACUCUAAGUUAUUUUAAAAUGUACAAUUAAGUUAUUAUUGACUAUAAUCACCCAUUUGUGCUGUCAAAUACUAGGCCUAUUUAUUCAUUCUAUUUUUUGUACCCAUUAAACAUCCCCACCUCCGCUCUAGCCACCCCCACUACCCUUCCCAGCCUCUUGUAAAUGGUCACCCAUCCUUCUACUCUCUAUGUCCAUGAGUUAAAUUGUUUUGAUUUUUAUAUCCCACAAAUAUGUGAGAACAUGUGAUGUUUGUCUUUCUGUACCUGGCUUAUUUCACUUAACAUAAUGACCCUCAGUCCCAUCCAUGUUACUGCAAAUGACUGAAUCUCAUUCUUUUUAUGACUGAAUAGUACUCCAUUAUAUGUUCUUUUUCUUCCUUUUAACCUGCUCUACAUUUUGCUGUGAAUGUAACCUUUCCAAAAUACAGUUUGGGGCAUAUAAUCCCUCUACUCAAAAGUCCUCAGUGGUAGCUGUUGGCUACUGAAUAAAGUACAAAAUAUUUCAUUCUCAUUGGGAGGGAGAUAAAGCUAGCAAAGGAAGUUACAGCAAGAAGUUAGGGAGUUCAGACUUGUCCCUGAGGUAAGUGGCAAGCCACUAGAAGUUUGUAGGCAGGGGAAAUUUAAAAACCUCAUCAAGUCAUCUUAUCCUUGGAGCUACUGCCUUAACCGGAAUAAAUGUAUCCUUGACUAUGGUAAUUCCAGACAUUAUGGCAGCCCAGGAAGGAGAACUAUAUCAUUUUCUCAAUUUAAUAGUACCUCUUCUUUUCCCCAGGAAUAAAAAGUGCCUCACUUCAUGCUUCAGUUGUUUCUGCUAAAACAACAAAUGUCCCCAGACAAUCUUUACCAGAUAUUCUGAGACAAGAGGCAAGUAACAUUUCUUUUGUACCAGAUGUAGAUAGAACAAAUGAAGUAUGAAAUUAUGAUCAAGAUU
rnacentral:lncRNA from 1 species